rnacentral:tRNA from 2 species
ACAUAGUAUAGCUUAACCAAAGCAUUUUGUUUACACCAAAAUUAUGCCUGAUAAAUCCAGGUUACUAUG